GAUCCUGGCUUAGGAUGAACGCUAGCGGCAGGCUUAACACAUGCAAGUCGAGGGGCAUCGGGAGUAGCAAUACUGCCGGCGACCGGCGCAAGGGUGCGUAACGCGUGAGCAACAUGCCCGUAUCAGGGGGAUAAUCCAUGGAAACGUGGUCUAAUACCCCAUAGUAAUUAUGUAAGGCAUCUUAUAUAAUUUAAAGCUUUGGUGGAUACGGAUUGGCUCGCGUGACAUUAGCUAGAUGGUAAGGUAACGGCUUACCAUGGCUACGAUGUCUAGGGGUUCUGAGAGGAAGGUCCCCCACACUGGAACUGAGACACGGUCCAGACUCCUACGGGAGGCAGCAGUGAGGAAUAUUGGACAAUGGAUGGAAAUCUGAUCCAGCCAUGCCGCGUGCAAGGAAGACGGCCCUAUGGGUUGUAAACUGCUUUUGUAUGGGAGCAAUAAGGGCUACGCGUAGUCCGAUGAGAGUACCAUACGAAUAAGCACCGGCUAACUCCGUGCCAGCCGCCGC
rnacentral:rRNA from 1 species